rnacentral:lncRNA from 1 species
CUUUGCCUUUAGAAAUUAGAACAAAGAAAUGAGUCCCUAAAGGCCAAAAAACAAAACCUUCAUUGUCUGUCCCUUUCUUCCCUCUCUUUUUUCUCUUGUGGAAACGUGCCGCCCCCCACUGUUCACUAAAAGCUCGAACCUGCAUGCGGGAAUAUAAGGUUAAGCUUUCUUCACUAUGCGUGGUGCAGCCUGCAGUGCACCACAAAUAUUUCUCAGGUUUCAGCUCUGCCUCACCCUAAACUUUUCCCUAUUUAUAUUUCAUUUCUUCAUCUUAUGUAUGUAAAUUGUCUAUAUAUAUACAUAUAUAUGACUUCCUUUGAAGAAAUUAACGAGCCAUGAAUGAGAAAAUGGGCAUGAACCCUUUUCUCUCCCUUCUCUAAGCAAGCUUGUUUUCCAUAGCAUUUCCUUCUGAUCUUUGCACGUCGAUGUUUCUGAUCAUGUUAAGCUCUGGGGUUUCUACUAUGCAUCGGCUUUCUUGCACUGAUGAUCAAAAGAGGAUGGUUAAGCUUCUCUUUCGAUUUUAUAUGAUGGGUGGCUUUGAUAGCUGCCUUUCAGUGAAUGUAGAGCUUCACUCCCGGUGAGAAAAGGUAGCAUGGGAAUGGAGAUCAUCCAUGCAAAGGGGAAUCAAGCGUUCCUGGUCCGACCACAUUACUUAUCUGUUUUAUGUUUGUUCUUUGUUCUUUUUGGGGAUGAAUGGUUAAACAGGUUAGCCUGCAAUACUUAUUCAUGUGUUCAUCACCCUGGCUUUCUUAUUCUUUGUCAAAUUUACUUUAUUUUAGGAUUGAAGAACAUCGAUUAUUAGUAUACAAAGAAAAUGUUCUUGCAGUAUUGUAUGUGAGGUGAAUAAGCAGCUAGAUCCGAGUGAAAGAUAGAGCUGCUGUUUCAGGCAGAUGAAAUUUUUAGGAAUGUAAGAAAUGUGUGUGAGUGCUUCAUGUAAUAAAAGUUUCAUUUCUAUUUGCUCAAUGUUUUUCUUUGUGUGUGUUUGUAUUCUUCCUUCCCUGGCAAAUUUCCAUCAAAGUUCCUGCCAUUUCUGCAACUUAGAACUGUAGAUCUGGUGACAAUAUAGAGCCAAUUUUCUAUAUGGAUGUUUUCACCAUGAGAGGGCUUCCCUUGUUCCAGAUGUUGCUGAUCUUGCUGCAUAUAAUUAAUUUUCCCUUUUGUCUUCUUUUGCUUCUGAUGCAAUCAAUUCUGUCUUCAUAUGUUCUCUAAUGGAAAUAGAUUAUGUGAAUAUAGAACAGCAUAAGAACAAGAAAUGGUAAAAUCAUUUGAUGCACUUGGGAAUAGGAAUUUUUAGAUAUGUAGUCAGGCAUGUCCCUUGCCCUUCCAAAGCAUCAAAACUAGUGAGAUUUGGUGAAUGGUCUUAUUCAAAUCAGUCUGCUAAAAGGGAAAAGAGCUAGUGAGCUUUGCUUUUAUGCAAAUAGUAGUGGAAGUGGCUGCUCCAUUUUGGGAGGACAAAGGGAGUUGAAGGACUCUUGCAGAUUUCUCCUUUUCACAUGCGACUAAUUUUCUCUGAGCAUGCAAAAACUAUUUGCUUUCCCACUUGUU